rnacentral:rRNA from 1 species
UACGAAGGGGGCUAGCGUUGCUCGGAAUCACUGGGCGUAAAGCGCACGUAGGCGGAUCUUUAAGUCAGGGGUGAAAUCCUGGAGCUCAACUCCAGAACUGCCUUUGAUACUGGGGAUCUCGAGUCCGGAAGAGGUGAGUGGAACUCCGAGUGUAGAGGUGAAAUUCGUAGAUAUUCGGAAGAACACCAGCGGCGAAGGCGGCUUUCUGGUCCGAUACUGACGCUGAGGUGCGAAAGCGUGGGGAGCGAUCCGG